GGAUUGUGGCUCAGUGGUAGAGUGCUUGCCUAGCAUGUGUGAGGCACUGGGUUUGAUUCUCAGCACCA
rnacentral:tRNA from 1 species